GGUUAAGUGAAUAAGGGCGCACGGUGGAUGCCUUGGCACUAGGAGCCGAUGAAGGACGGGACUAACACCGAUAUGCUUUGGGGAGCUGUAAGUAAGCUAUGAUCCAGAGAUUUCCGAAUGGGGGAACCCAAUAUCUUUUAUAGGAUAUUACUUUUCAGUGAAUACAUAGCUGAUUAGAGGUAGACGCAGAGAACUGAAACAUCUUAGUACCUGCAGGAAGAGAAAGAAAAUUCGAUUCCCUGAGUAGCGGCGAGCGAAACGGGAAGAGCCCAAACCAACAAGCUUGCUUGUUGGGGUUGUAGGACUCCAAUAUGGUAGUCUGUUAGUAUAGUUGAAGGAUUUGGAAAAUUCCGCUAAAGAGGGUGAAAGCCCCGUAGACGAAAUGCUAACAACGCCUAGGAGGAUCCUGAGUACGGCGGAACACGAGAAAUUCCGUCGGAAUCCGCGGGGACCAUCCCGCAAGGCUAAAUAC
rnacentral:rRNA from 1 species